rnacentral:rRNA from 1 species
GCAAUGCGUGAAAGCGUGACGGGGUCAUCCCGAGUGCUGUCCGCUGAGGAUGGCUUUUCCCUAGUGUAUACAGCUGGGGGAAUAAGGAGAGGGCAAGCCUGGUGUCAGCCGCCGCGGUAAUACCAGCUCUCCGAGUGGUGGGGACAUUUAUUGGGCCUGAAGCAUCCGUAGCCGGCUGGACAAGUCCCCUGUUAAACCCAGCGGUCUAAUCGCUGGUCUGCGGGGGAUACUGUUCGGCUAGGGGGCGAGAGAGGCCGACGGUAUUCUCGGGGUAGGGGUGAAAUCCUAUAAUCCCGGGAAGACCACCAGUGGCGAAGGCUGUCGGCUAGAACGUGCUCGACGGUGAGGGAUGAAAGCUGGGGGAGCGAACCGGAUUAGAUACCCGGGUAGUCCCAGCCGUAAACGAUACAGGCUAGGUGUUAGGGCGGCUACGUGCCGCUCUAGUGCCGCAGGGAAGCUGUUUAGCCUGUCGCCUGGGGAGUACGGCCGCAAGGCUGAAACUUAAAGGAAUUGGCGGGGGAGCACCACAAGGGGUGAAGCUUGCGGUUUAAUUGGAGUCAACGCCGGAAAUCUCACCGGGGGCGACAGCAGGA